AACUUACAUGACAUCACUGCUUUCUUUGGAAUAGAAAUUUAGUUGUCUGACAUUGUUUUAAAAUUUUUUCUGAUCCUAGGUCAGUGCGGUCCUGGUCAGUUCUCCCAUGAUGGCUUUGAUGGCCCUGUCUGCCCUGUCCACAUGUCCGCACCUAUAAACCUGAAGUCGGUCGAACUUCCUGUUUCCCAUGUGGAGGAAGCCUCACAACCACAACCACAACCAAACAUCAUGGUUCUUGUGUUUUUCCAGGACUGUGAGACUAAAGGUUUCAUUACUUUUGUGAAUGGCCAAUGGAUUUUAAGUAAUUCUUUUAAGGCAAGUACUAAAAUCAAGAGGUUUGUAAUUGCAGAUCCCAUUAGUAUAAAAGAAGCAAUAAUGCCACCAUGUGGAAGAUGGGGAAAAUAUACGUACUAGUGUUUUUUAAUUGACCUAUUAAAGUCAAUUGAUGUUUUCUAAUGAACUUUACAGGACAAGAAGCUUAUGAAGGCCCCGUUUGAUGUCCUGGCCCAUCCACAAAACUUCUUCAACUACAUUAGUUGCUAAAAUAUGGGAAUUAAUGCAUUACAUAAUUAAAUAUGCACUCAUUUGCAUACAUUCUCAAAACUGAAAUCUAAACACUGAAUAAAGCCAAGUUCAAAAUGCUUGUUUCAUUUUGUUGACAUAUUACAUUUAAAUUGUACGAAGAGGGAAUUCUCAAUGUCUUUUUAUCAUUCCAUAAAUCAGAAAAAAAAUCACCGUGGUUUUGGAAUAAAAAGUUGUAUAAAAAUGAGGCAUAUUACAUAUAAAUAGGGUGCCAAUAAAAUAAUUUAAAAAAAUCAAAUAAACUGUGACUCAUCUCUGUUGACCAGAUUGGAUAGUGAUGAGAGUUUUUUCAGCGACAGAGCGGGGAGAACGUUGUUCAAUCUUACGGAAGAAUGGUUCCCAACUCACGUGUUUCCAGAGGGAAGUGAUAAUGCGCGGACCGACUGCUGUUGAUCAGCUGAUGUGUCAAGCAGAGUCCAGCCCUCACGGUUUGUUUUGUUGACGUUUAUUUGAAUCAGAAGACUUCUAGUCAUUGCACGCGCUGCUAAUGUAACAUCUACUCUUUGUUCUGCUACAUUUCUCUUUAAUAUUCGACGA
rnacentral:lncRNA from 1 species